GUCCGGCACGUCCGUGCUACGUUAGCUGAAGGUAAAGUGCACACUCACUGUUUCCCUGGUGCUUGUGUUCUCGAUGUUUCAGCGCAGAUACCCGCUAUCCUGAAGGGUGACGAGAGCAUCGGCGCGGUCGUGCUUCACGCCGGGGUUAACGACACCAAGCUGCGGCAGACGGAGACACUGAAGAGGGACUUCAGGAGCCUGAUCGAGACGGUGCGCCGCACAUCACCCGCGACAAUGAUCAUCGUGUCAGGACCGCUUCCCACGUACCGACGAGGACAUGAAAGGUUCAGUGGACUUUUUGCUUUAAAUGAAUGGUUAUUGUCAUGGUGUAAAGAA